GUCUACGGCCAUGCCACCCUGAACAUGCCCGAUCUUGUCUGAUUUUGUAAGCUAAGCAGGGUUGGGCCUGGUUGGUAUUUGGAUGGGAGACCACCUAGGAAGACUGGGUACUGUAGGUG
rnacentral:rRNA from 1 species